ensembl:lncRNA
CAAGCAGGUGAGGGAACGAGGUAGGAAAAAAGGGGAGAGGAGAGGAGACAUGGAUGAGAGGAGAAGAACAGUUAAAGUAGCCAGAAACAGGAAUGGGAGAGAAGGUAAGGAUGGGAGGAGUGGACAGGUGGGGAUGGGAGGAGCAGAGAGAUGGGGAUGGGAGGAACAGACAGGUGGUGAUGGGAGGAGUGGAGAGAUGGGGAUGGGAGGAACAGACAGGAGGGGAUGGGAGGAGUGGAGAGAUGGGGAUGGGAGGAGCAGACAGGUGGUGAUGGGAGGAGCAGACAGGAGGUGAUGGGAGGAGUGGAGAGAUGGGGAUGGGAGGAGCAGAGAGAUGGGGAUGGGAGGAGCAGACAGGAGGUGAUGGGAGGAGCAGACAGGAGGUGAUGGGAGGAGUGGAGAGAUGGGGAUGGGAGGAGCAGAGAGAUGGGGAUGGGAGGAGCAGACAGGAGGUGAUGGGAGGAGCAGACAGGAGGUGAUGGGAGGAGUGGAGAGAUGGGGAUGGGAGGAGCAGACAGGAGGGGAUGGGAGGAGCGGACAGGAGGGGAUGGGAGGAGCGGACAGGAGGUGAUGGGAGGAGCAGACAGGAGGUAAUGGGAGGAGCAGACAGAAGGAGAUGGGAGGAGCAGAGAGAUGGGGAUGGGAGGAGCAGAGAGAUGGGGAUGGGAAGAGUGGACAGGAGGGGAUGGGAGGAGUGGACAGGAGGGGAUGGGAGGAGCAGAUAGGAGGGGGUGGGAGGAGCAGACAGGAGGGGAUGGGAGGAGCGGACAGGAGGGGACGGGGGAGGGGCACACAGGAGGGGAUGGGAGGAGCGGACAGGAGGGGAUGGGAGGAGCGGACAGGAGGGGUUGGGAGGAGCAGACAGGAGGGGUUGGGAGGAGCAGACAGGAGGGGUUGGGAGGAGCAGACAGGAGGGGAUGGGAGGAGCAGACAGGAGGGGAUGGGAGGAGCGGAACAAAGGGGAUGGGAGGAGUGGAGAGAACAGGAUGGGAGGAAUUGGGG